rnacentral:rRNA from 1 species
AAAGACCUUAUGCUUUUGGAGCGGCCGAUGUCUGAUUAGCUAGUUGGUGGGGUAAAGGCUUACCAAGGCGACGAUCAGUAGUUGGUCUGAGAGGACGACCAGCCACACUGGGACUGAGACACGGCCCAGACUCCUACGGGAGGCAGCAGUGGGGAAUUUUGGACAAUGGGCGCAAGCCUGAUCCAGCAAUGCCGCGUGAGUGAAGAAGGCCUUCGGGUUGUAAAGCUCUUUCAGUCGAAAAGAAAAGGUUAUGACUAAUAAUCAUAAUCUAUGACGGUAUCGACAGAAGAAGCACCGGCUAACUACGUGCCAGCAGCCGCGGUAAUACGUAGGGUGCGAGCGUUAAUCGGAAUUACUGGGCGUAAAGGGUGCGCAGGCGGUUCUGUAAGUCAGAUGUGAAAUCCCCGGGCUUAACCUGGGAACU